rnacentral:lncRNA from 1 species
CCUUAAUUGAAGUGGUUAGAAAAUAAAGAGUACCUUGAGAGUCAAGCUAUAAAAAAGUUUAGGAACAAUGCAGUAGGUAGGCAGAAUAAAUGAAUUAUCUUAAGAGGGAGAGGGUGUUGGGUUUGGAUGACUAGGGGGAUAAAUCUGUUGAAACUGUUGUAAUGAAUCAGGUUUGGAUUGGUAAGAUGACUUUCUCUUUGUUGGACUGUUGUGGUUUGACUUUGUUAGGUAUAAUAACUUGGGAAUUGGUUGGUGAUUUUGGUUGG